rnacentral:misc_RNA from 1 species
CCUAGAGUUGUAGGCUUUGCCUGCUAUCUCUUACCCAUGUCUUUUGAGUACCUUCGUUUCCUCGGCGGGUCCGCCCGCCGAUUGGACAAUUUAAACCAUUUGCAGUUGCAGUCGGCGUCUGAAAAAACUUAAUAGUUA